rnacentral:rRNA from 1 species
CUACGGGGUGCACCAGUGGGGAAUAUUGGACAAUGGGGGCAACCCUGAUCCAGCAAUGCCGCGUGUGUGAAGAAGGCCUGAGGGUUGUAAAGCACUUUCAGUGGGGAGGAAGACUGGCAGGUUAAGAGCUGGUUAGUUUGACGUUACCCACAGAAGAAGCACCGGCUAACUCCGUGCCAGCAGCCGCGGUAAUACGGGGGGUGCGAGCGUUAAUCGGAAUUAUUGGGCGUAAAGGGUGCGUAGGUGGUUUAUUAAGUUAUCUGUGAAAUUCCUGGGCUUAACCUAGGUAGGUCAGAUAAGACUGGUAGACUCGAGUAUGGGAGAGGGUAGUGGAAUUUCCGGUGUAGCGGUGAAAUGCGUAGAGAUCGGAAGGAACACCAGUGGCGAAGGCGGCUACCUGGCCUAAUACUGACACUGAGGCACGAAAGCGUGGGGAGCAAACAGGAUUAGAUACCCUAGUAGUC